rnacentral:rRNA from 1 species
GACUUGACAUCUCCUGAAUUACUCUUAAUCGAGGAAGUCCCUUCGGGGACAGGAAGACAGGUGGUGCAUGGUUGUCGUCAGCUCGUGUCGUGAGAUGUUGGGUUAAGUCCCGCAACGAGCGCAACCCUUAUUGUUAGUUGCUACUAUUAAGUUAAGCACUCUAACGAGACUGCCGCGGUUAACGUGGAGGAAGGUGGGGAUGACGUCAAAUCAUCAUGCCCCUUAUGUCUAGGGCUACACACGUGCUACAAUGGCUGGUACAACGAGCAGCAAACCCGCGAGGGGGAGCAAAACUUGAAAGCCAGUCCCAGUUCGGAUUGUAGGCUGAAACUCGCCUACAUGAAGUUGGAGUUGCUAGUAAUCGCGAAUCAGCAUGUCGCGGUGAAUACGUUCCCGGGUCUUGUACACACCGCCCGUCACACCAUGAGAGCCGGUAACACCCGAAGCCCGUGAGGUAACCGUAAGGAGCCAGCGGUCGAAGGUGGGAUUGGUGAUUGGGGUGAAGUCGUAACAAGGUAGCCGUAGGAGAAACUGCGGCUGGAUCACCUCCUUUCUAGGGA